UGUCUUGAACAGGUGAAGCUUGAG
rnacentral:siRNA from 1 species